UUCUGGAGACCACACGAGGCAUCCUCGUCCUGCUCGCCCUUCAGUCCCCGAGUUCUCAAUCUCUCCUCCUCCUUCCUGUGUUCUCUCCAAAAUCCACACCUAAUCCCCAUGAAAUUGAGCUCGUUUUUGUUGCCUUCUCCGCUCCGCGCAACAUUUUUCCUCCAUAGAUCCAUGAGAGGGGUGAGCUCGUCCGUGCUUUUUUCCUUUUUUUUCUCUCAUGCCAUGUGCAGUCCGCCAUGGAUCCCAUGAGGUUGGGCUCAAGCACAAGAUUGAUGUUUCUUUUCUUGCCGUUCAUAUUGGAGCAGCGUCCAAAGGGCAGGACGACCGUGCUGCAAGCUCGUGCACCUGCUGCGUUACCAUGGUGUGCGACGGCGGAGACCGGUGCCGGUUGGGGCAGCGAUGCAGGAAACGACACACCUCGUUGCUGGAACCGGCCGACUGGAAAGCUGCAACCGGCAUCCGAUGAUGCUGGAACCAGUAAUCAUUUUUGCUACCACAGGUGGUUGGUUUUGCUGGAACCACCGCCAAAUUUGCAAGUUUGCUACUACUGACUUUUUGGUUUGCUGGAACAACCUUGAAUUUUUGCUACAUCGGCGUUUUUGACUUUUGCUGGGGGACAACUUUCAUUGUUUUUUGUUUUGCAAUUUUUGCUACCACCGUUUCCUUGGUUUGCUGGAUCCGAUGCAAUUUUUUGCUACAUUCGGGAUGGAUGGAGCUGCAUGAUAGGGAGCUGCAUCUUAGUUUUUUGCUGGAACCGGGACACGGAUAGCUGCUAUCGGUGAUUUUUUUUUGCUUCAACGGAGAUGAGACCCAGAGAGUUUUUUUGCUGGAAUGAAAUUUCUUCAUGAGGUGCGGUGGCGAGGCAUUUUUAUUUUUUUGUGCUGUAAUUUGUGCUUUUUUGCUGGAACCAUGUUUUGAUUUUGCUACAACGAGCAUUUGAUUUUGCUGGAACCGCAUGAAGCAGAUUUGGGACCAGUUUUUUUAGUAACUGAUUUUUGCUGCAACCAUCCAACUGGCGAGCGGGCCCGGGGAACGGCGCCGGUGAGCUGCUCCGGCGAGCGGCGACGGCGAACCGGUGAGCGGGUCCGACGAGCCGGCGAGCAGCGGCCACCGAGCUGCAAUCGUCGCUACAGGGAGCUAGAACCGCAUGGUCACGUUGCUGGCGCGAAACGCAGGAGGCGACGUCGGCGACCGGUGACGACGACGGCGACCGGUGGCGAGGGCAGCGACAGGGAAGACACGGAGGAGGUGCUUCGAGGCUGGCGCGUCGUCGUCUAUGAAAACUUUUUAGAAAAAAAAGACAUUCAAGGGAAAGGAAGAAGUGAAUCGUGCGGCUGCUGAUUGUUUAAUCGUACGAUGC
rnacentral:lncRNA from 1 species